AACUGAUACUACCUGCGGGAACCUGCGGAAGGAUCAUUACCGAGUUUACAACUCCCAAACCCAUGUGAACAUACCUAUUGUUGCUUCGGCGGGAUUGCCCCGGGCGCCUCGUGUGCCCCGGAUCAGGCGCCCGCCUAGGAAACUUAACUCUUGUUUUAUUUUGGAAUCUUCUGAGUAGUUUUUACAAAUAAAUAAAAACUUUUAACAAUGGAUCUCU
rnacentral:misc_RNA from 1 species